rnacentral:tRNA from 1 species
GUUGGGAUGUUCUACAGUGGUCUGGGGUGCAAGCUUCAAACCUGUAGUUGUCUAGCGACAGAGUGGUUCAAUUCCACCUUUUCGAC